ensembl:ncRNA asRNA:CR30267 antisense RNA:CR30267
GUCCAUUAAGCCGCCAGAGCUUUGCUUGCUGACUUUGCCAUCCUUUCGCCACCGCCCCUGCCACUCCCCCUGCAGGACAUGGACAUGGACACAUGUGCAAUGGCCGCACACACAAACACACAUGCAAAGUGUUGUGUAAACAAGUCAGCUGCCAGUUGGCUGGGCGCUGCAGGCGGGGCUCACAGUAGGGGAAGAGCUAGAAGAUGAAGAAGGAGCUUAUCCAGAAGGAACGGCCAGCGGAAAUCAAGGUGCCACGCCCCCUUUUAGACACGCCCACCAGCGUCCAAUUGUGCUUUGUUUGCUACCCGCUGGCAGGAGCUGACCAAACCACCUUGACCCAUUGUCGUCGUAGGUUGGACUCACCUUGAAACUCCUUGCGCGCUGCACUCACUGACGUCACAAUGUUGGCCACGUGCCCCAGUACCGUGGCGAAGAGCAUCAGGCCAAAGAGCAGCUGCAGGAUAACAAAGACGUACUCGCCCUUGGAGCGCGGCUUGGGAAGAUCCCCGAUGGUGGUCAGGGCCAGGGUGCACCAGUAGUAGCUCUGCAGAUACUGCUUGACCACGUCCGCCGACUCCGAGUCGUGGUAGACCCAGUUGCGUGAUCCGAACCCAUUGUUCUUGUGUAUGAUGUGGUAGAGACAACCGUUCCAAUGGAAUAUCACAAGCAGGUAGUGGAUGAGGGCCGUGCUCCGGAACAGGUUCGGGUAGUUGGUGUGCCGCUCGGUGCGAUCCAUGAAGGCCCAGAACCGGUAGAUCUUCACCAGCCGGAAGCUGCGCAGGAUCGAGUUAAAGCCGAUGGACAAAUAGAGAAAGUCCAGCGGCAGCAGGCACAGGCAGUCGAUGUAGAAGAUCGUCGAGUUCAUGUAGUGGGUGCGCAGCUUCAAAGCGUCCGUCUGCAGCACCCCGUCCUCCAGGUAUCCGGUGCGAAAGUGGAACAGUAUAUCGAUCAGAUACAGGAAGUCGGACAGGUAGUCCAGACAGAACCAAAUGGCGAUCGUUCGCCGAUUGAUCUCCUGGAAGGCGAAGCGGUAGAUUAUCACCCAGAAGUUGUACAGGAAGGCCAUGGACACCACCAUGGACCAGUAGUAGCACAGUCGCCCCGCCGGAUCAAAGACGAAGUGCAGUUUCCUGGCCGCCGUUGCUGCUCGAAUCCGCUGCGAGGCCGUUCGUCGUGGUUUCUGGUGGUGCGGCUGGCCACCAUGAGAGCCUGGUCCACUGCCUCCCCCACUGCCGGCGCCACCGUGGUGCGGGUGAUGCGGAUGGCCGCCGUGGGGGGGUCCCGGCCCACCAGGGCCACCCUGCGAGGGUGGACCGUGUGCGUGCGGGUGGUGCGACACCGUGGAUGCCGAGUGCUGCAGCUGGUAGGGGUGGUGCGCCUGCUGGGCGGCAUUGUGGUGCCCCUGCUGCUGCGAUCGGGAGCGCGGGUAGCUAUAGAAUCGGAAAAAUAAAUAAGAAUAAUGUCAGAUAUACUUGUAUUCGACUCUCAUAUUAG